GCGCCGCGCGGUACCGUCGGUGCGAUAUCGACGACGGCAAGACGGAAGCCGGUGGGAACCCGGCACGGUCGCGCCACUGUGAACGAGACGUUCCAAACGUUCCAAGGGAUGUCUUGUGAGUCAGACCCGUAGCUGUCGUCCAAUGCACCAC
rnacentral:ncRNA from 2 species